rnacentral:lncRNA from 1 species
AGUUGGGAAAUGGGACAAUGACAGAAAAGGCUGGAAAGAAGGAAAGAGACAUUUUGUGGAGGAUCCAGACUAGCAGACAACAUUUGUGUUGAUCAUACGUGCAAGGAGAGUUGUUAAGGCUUUUGAGCAGGGAAUGACUACAUCAAUGCAGUAUUUUAAGGAAUUUAAUUUGGCAAAUAUAGUGAAGGAGAAAGAGACUAGAAAAAGGUAGUAUACCUAGAGAUUAGCAUAGCAUUCCAAUUCUCAAGUGAUGAAGGCCUAUGGUAGGAUAUUGCCAUGGAUGCUAAAACAAAGGGGAGUAAGGAAGGAAGCAUCCAUAGAUCUUGAUGAUCCAAAUUGGGAUUUGGAGUGCCAAAUAAUCCUAUUUGCAGAUAUUAGAAUUAUUUAAUUCCUUCAUGAAUAUUGAAGCUAAUAUCUGUGCAAGUUUUAUAGUACCAGAAAAAAAUAUUUUUAACAUGUAAUCUACCAUUCCUAGAGUCAGCUUUUGAUAUGGUUUGGCUGUGUCCCCAGCCAAAUCUCAUCUUGAAUGGUAACUCCCACAAUUCCCACCUGUCAUGGGAGGAAACUGGUGGGAGGUGAUUAAAUUAUAGGGGCGAGACUUUCCUGCGCUCUUUUUGUGAUAGUGAAUGAGUCUCACGGAGCUGAUCAUUUUUAAAAUGGGAGCUUCCCUGCACAAGCUCUCUCUCUGCCUGCCGCCAUCCAUGAAAGAUGCGACUUGUUCCUCCUUGCCUUCUGCCGAUUGUGAGGCCUCCCCAGCCAUGUGGAACUGUAAGUCCAUUAAACCUCUUUAUUUUGUAAAUUGCCCAGUCUCAGGUCUUUAUUAACAGUGUUAAAAACGGAUUAAUACAGCUUUUUUCAGAGAACAGUAAAACAUUGUGUUGGUCCUUGGGUAAGAGCAGAAGGGACCUUUUUGGUGCCCUGGCAUCUCUUUGCAGAGACAGCUGUUUUCACUGCUAACUUGCUUUGUGAGGGUGCAUUUGUGACAAGAAGAACAAAUAGAUGUGCAAAGAAAAAAAAAAAAAAAAA